UUGCAGUUGUGAUGAGUUACUAAUCAAAGUUUUUGUUGCAAUUUCACACUUUUUGGGAGUCUGAUGGUCAGGUUAUUUAGGUGGAUGUAGUAGCUUGCUAAUGGUGGCUUUCACGUCCAGUGCAAAUACUAGUGGACGUGGACCUGUUGGGGAAAGCACGUACAUCUUUGUGUUUAGUGAGCAGGUUUCCGAAGAAAGAAAUACUCAAUGCCAUUCGGUGGUUUUCAAUGUGCCAGGCUCUACAUUCAUAGUACAUCAUUGAGUUUUACCUUCAACUAAGACUAUUUCCGUUGAGAUUCAAAAGAUAUACGGAUGAUUACAUGGGUGCGUGGCAAGUAUACUGCAAUGAUGAUGAUGAUGUUCCUGGUUCACGAUGAAGACGAUGAUGGAUGUUCUCAGUUUUAGUUUAGUUGUAGGGAUGCUUUUCCUGUUGGAUGAUGUUCCUCGGUUAAGUUUUAGUUUAAGUUGUAGGGAUGUUGAUGGAUGAUUUUAGUUUAAGUUUUGCUGUCAAGAGAAUAUUCAGGUUAUGCAUCACAUCUGGAUGUUAUUC